rnacentral:rRNA from 1 species
AGAGCUUGCUCUUAUGAAGUUAGCGGCGGACGGGUGAGUAACACGUGGGUAACCUGCCCAUAAGACUGGGAUAACUCCGGGAAACCGGGGCUAAUACCGGAUAACAUUUUGAACCGCAGGGUUCGAAAUUGAAAGGCGGCUUCGGCUGUCACUUAUGGAUGGACCCGCGUCGCAUUAGCUAGUUGGUGAGGUAACGGCUCACCAAGGCAACGAUGCGUAGCCGACCUGAGAGGGUGAUCGGCCACACUGGGACUGAGACACGGCCCAGACUCCUACGGGAGGCAGCAGUAGGGAAUCUUCCGCAAUGGACGAAAGUCUGACGGAGCAACGCCGCGUGAGUGAUGAAGGCUUUCGGGUCGUAAAACUCUGUUGUUAGGGAAGAACAAGUGCUAGUUGAAUAAGCUGGCACCUUGACGGUACCUAACCAGAAAGCCACGGCUAACUACGUGCCAGCAGCCGCGGUAAUACGUAGGUGGCAAGCGUUAUCCGGAAUUAUUGGGCGUAAAGCGCGCGCAGGUGGUUUCUUAAGUCUGAUGUGAAAGCCCACGGCUCAACCGUGGAGGGUCAUUGGAAACUGGGAGACUUGAGUGCAGAAGAGGAAAGUGGAAUUCCAUGUGUAGCGGUGAAAUGCGUAGAGAUAUGGAGGAACACCAGUGGCGACGCGACUUUCUGGUCUGUAACUGACACUGAGGCGCGAAAGCGUGGGGAGCAAACAGGAUU